CCUACGGGUGGCAGCAGUGAGGAAUAUUGGUCAAUGGCCGGAAGGCUGAACCAGCCAAGCCGCGUGAAGGACGAAGGUGCCAAGCAUUGUAAACUUCUUUUGUCAAGGGACAAAAUCAGGCUCGAGAGCCUGACCGAGGGUACUUGAAGAAACAGCAUCGGCUAACUCCGUGCCAGCAGCCGCGGUAAUACGGAUGAUGCGAGGGUUAUCCGGAUUUAUUGGGUUUAAGGGGUGCGUAGGGGGGCUGUUAAGUCAGAGGUAAAAGCCCGGGGCUCAACCCCGGAGAGCCGUUGAAACUGGCUGGCUGGAGAUGUCGAGAGGUAUGCGGAAUGCGGAGUGUAGCGGUGAAAUGCUUAGAUAUUGCGCAGAACUCCGAUUGCGAAGGCAGCAUACCGGCGGCGAACUGACGCUGAGGCACGAAAGCGUGGGUAUCGAACAGGAUUAGAUACCCCUGUAGUC
rnacentral:rRNA from 1 species